rnacentral:rRNA from 1 species
GGAGUCUGGGCCGUGUCUCAGUCCCAAUGUGACCGUUCAUCCUCUCAGACCGGUUACCGAUCGUCGGCUUGGUGAACCUUUACUCCACCAACUACCUAAUCGGACGCAGACCCCUCUUUAAGCGAUAAAUCUUUAGUUAAAAAGCAUGCGCCUUCCUAACAACAUUCGGUAUUAGCAACCCUUUCGAGCUGUUGUCCCCAUCUUAAAGGCAGGUUAUCUACGCGUUACUCACCCGUUUGCCACUAAAUCCUAAGAUUCCGUUCGACUUGCAUGUGUUAAGCACGCCGCCAGCGUUCGUCCUGAGCCACUGAUCAAACUACU